UACGUAGGUGGCGAGCGUUGUCCGGAAUUACUGGGUGUAAAGGGCGUGUAGGCGGGGGCUCAAGUCGGAUGUGAAAUACCGUGGCUCAACCACGGGGCUGCAUCCGAAACUGUGCCUCUUGAGUACCGGAGAGGAAAGUGGAAUUCCCAGUGUAGCGGUGAAAUGCGUAGAUAUUGGGAGGAACACAAGUGGCGAAGGCGACUUUCUGGACGGUAACUGACGCUGAGGCGCGAAAGCGUGGGGAGCAAACAGG
rnacentral:rRNA from 1 species